rnacentral:rRNA from 1 species
ACCCCAGUAGUCCACGCCCUAAACGAUGGGUACUAAGCAUUGGGAGUUUCGACCCUCCCAGUGCUGGUUAUCGAAGCUAACGCCUUAAGUACCCCACCUGGGAAGUACGGCCGCAAGGCUAAAACUCAAAGGAAUUGACGGGAGCCCGCACAAGCGGUGGAGCAUGUGGUUUAAUUCGACGAUAAGCGAUGAACCUUACCAAGGCUUGACAUGUCUAGAACCCCGAUGAAAGUUGGGGGUGCCCGCAAGGGAGCUAGAACACAGGUGCUGCAUGGUUGUCGUCAGCUCGUGUCGUGAGAUGUCGGGUUAAGUCCUUUAACGAGCGCAACCCUCAUCGUGUGUUAUAUUCACACACGAAACUGCCCAGGUUAACUGGGAGGAAGGUGGGGAUGACGUCAAAUCAGCAUGGCCCUUACGCCUUGGGCCACACACGUGCUACAAUGGCGAGGACAAUGGGUUGCAAAAUCGCAAGAUGAAGCCAAUCCCAUCAAACCUCGUCUCAGUUCGGAUUGAAGUCUGCAACUCGACUUCAUGAAGCCGGAAUCGCUAGUAAACGCCGAUCAGCCACGCGGCGUUGAAUACGUUCUCGGGCUUUGUACACACCGCCCGUCACACCAAGAGAGUCGGUAAUGCCAGAAGGCUGACAUUUGUCGGACGAAGGUAGGAUCGAUAAUAGGGGUGAAGUCGUAACAAGGUAACC